AAGACUAUAAUUUUUAGGGAUCAUUUCUAUAGUUUGUUACUAGCAAAGUUUCUCUGAUCUGGCUGAAUAUUGGAAACCAUGAGGAGGAAAUGAAACAUCCUCUCCUAAGUGUGAAGCUGGCUCUUGGUGUUGCUUUGCUAGGGAGAGAAUACUGUCUGAGCAGG
rnacentral:snoRNA from 1 species